rnacentral:rRNA from 1 species
AAUGGGCGCAAGCCUGAUCCAGCCAUGCCGCGUGAGUGAUGAAGGCCCUAGGGUUGUAAAGCUCUUUCACCGGUGAAGAUAAUGACGGUAACCGGAGAAGAAGCCCCGGCUAACUUCGUGCCAGCAGCCGCGGUAAUACGAAGGGGGCUAGCGUUGUUCGGAAUUACUGGGCGUAAAGCGUGCGCAGGCGGUUUUGUAAGACAGAGGUGAAAUCCCCGGGCUCAACCUGGGAACUGCCUUUGUGACUGCAAGGCUAGAGUACGGCAGAGGGGGAUGGAAUUCCGCGUGUAGCAGUGAAAUGCGUAGAUAUGCGGAGGAACACCGAUGGCGAAGGCAAUCCCCUGGGCCUGUACUGACGCUCAUGCACGAAAGCGUGGGGAGCAAACAGGAUUAGAUACCCUGGUAGUCCACGCCCUAAACGAUGUCAACUGGUUGUUGGGUCUUAACUGACUCAGUAACGAAGCUAACGCGUGAAGUUGACCGCCUGGGG